GACGAACGCUGGCGGCGUGCUUAACACAUGCAAGUCGAGCGGUAAGGCCCUUUCGGGGGUACACGAGCGGCGAACGGGUGAGUAACACGUGGGUGACCUGCCCUCAGCUCUGGGAUAAGCCUGGGAAACUGGGUCUAAUACUGGAUAUGACUCCACGGUGCAUGUCGUGGGGUGGAAAGCCUUGUGCGGCUGAGGAUGGGCCCGCGGCCUAUCAGCUUGUUGGUGGGGUNANGGCCUACCAAGGCGACGACGGGUAGCCGGCCUGAGAGGGCGACCGGCACACUGGGACUGAGACACGGCCCAGACUCCUACGGGAGGCAGCAGUGGGGAAUCUUGCGCAAUGGGCGAAAGCCUGACGCAGCGACGCCGCGUGAGGGAUGACGGCCU
rnacentral:rRNA from 1 species